AUAGCCUUUGUCUUCAGGGCUCGUUCAGUUCUUCUCUCCCUCCCUCGAGUUCCAAAUCAGCUGCAGGAAGUUGUGGCUGUUCCCAGACCUCGAGCUUACAGAGAAAGACUUAAAAAAAUAAAAUAAAAUGAUAUUCUACAGAGAAGGGCGUUCGAGGCAGCUCAAGACACUCAGGGCUGAUUUCCUUCAGAAUGGAUCAGUGGCGUAGCGUGGGUUGUCAGCACCCGGGGCAAGGCAAGUAAUUUGCGCCCCCUAACCCGUGGAUUUGCGCCCCCUAACCCUAAUCUCCAGAUGUUGCGCCCGGUGCGGCCGGCACCCCCCACGCUACGCCACUGGAAUGGAUAGGUUUGAUCUUCUUGAUCAGUCCAUGGGACUCUCAAGAGUCUCCUCCAGCUCCAUAAUUCAAAAGCAUCAAUUCUUUGGCGAUCAGCCUUCUUUAUGGUCCAGCUCUCACUUCCAUACAUCACUACUGGGAAAACCAUAGCUUUAACUAUACGGACCUUUGUUGGCAAGGUGAUGUCUCUGCUUUUUAAGAUGCUGUCUAGGUUUGCCAUUGCUUUCCUCCCAAGAAGCAGGCGUCUUUUAAUUUUGUGACUGCUGUCACCAUCUGCAGUGAUCAUGGAGCCCAAGAAAGUAAAAUCUCUCAGUGCCUCCAUUUCUUCCCUUUCUAUUUGCCAGGAGGUGAUGGGCCCAGUGGCCAUGAUCUUCGUUUUUUUGAUGUUGAGCUUCAGACCGUAUUUUGCAACGUCCCUAUUUUCCUGGAAGGGUCUGGAAUAGGGUGUCCCUAUUUUCAUUGGAGAAAUGUUGGAGGGUAUGCAGUUAUCCAAUCCCCGAGCCAUGUGAAGGCAAUCCUGUAUAGGGAAGACUUUUAUUUUUUAAAAAGUUUCAUGUUUUAUUAUGCAUUUAUAUAUGUUGGAAGCUACCCAGAGUGGCUAGGGCAACCCAGUAAAGUUGUGUGGGGUAUAAAUAGUAAAAUUGGAAUGGGGCGUCCCUAUUUUCAUCAGAGAAAUGUUGGAGGGUAUGUGGGUUUGAGCCCCCAUGUUGGGCAAAGCAUUCCUGUACUGUGGGGGUUGGACUAGAUGACUGUCCUGGCCCCCUUCCAAUUCUACAGUAUGAUUUUCUAAGACGUGCAUGGCGCACCGGGAAAUAGAUGGGAGUCGUAGCAUCUAAAUGGGAAAAUGGCGCUGACUGUGUUUCCCUACAGAGGAAGGAGGAAAAGAACGGAAGGGGCUUGGUUUUGCUGGCUGCUUUUAGCCACCAGUACAGUUCUCAUGGGGCUGCCUUAAAAAAAGAACGUGGAAAUUCCAAGUGGAACAAAAUGUGGCAGCUUAACUCUUGGUCAGAAGAACAGAUGAUAUCUGUGUUGUAUUAGUUUGCAAUAGUUGCCAAUGUGUUUCUAAGCCCAAUUUACAGUGCUGGUGAUGGUCUUUAAAGGACUAAAUGACUUGGGACUGAAUUGCCAAAAGGUUCAUCUGCUCAUAUCUUAGCACACUGAUGAAAAUAGGGAUUUAAUAAUAAUAAUAACAACAGGAUUUGUCUGGAACCACCAUGUCAAGAGUGCCUAAUGUUACAUAGCUAGUGGUGCAACUAUGGGCUUGUCCACACUAGAGUUUAUUGUGCAUACACCUCAUCCAUGCGACCUCCACCUCAGACUGAAGGUCUUCCACUCUGUGAAUUUGGAUUUCCCUAAUCUGAGGAUAAUCUGAUAAUGGUCAGGAAAAUAUGACUCCAAAUUAGUCUACUUGGAAAGUGGGCCUGUUGAAUCAAUCUGUUCCCUGUAGGUGAAUCAAACUUCUACGGUACUCCCCUUUCCAUGCUCCUGACUUCCUCUUAACCAUCAGUUCUUUUCCAGAAGCUCCAGAAAGCAGUCAUGCAUUUUAAAGAAUGUUUACACUGUGUUCUGAUAGAAGUGCUUCUCUUGAGAAUAAUGAGGAUAGCAGCAAAGACCAGCGACCAACUGAGGCUUGUUAGAUACACUCCCACACUUCUCUUUAACAGACAUCUAGACAAAUGAAGUAUUAUCACAGUUCAAAGUCACAUUCCAGUCAGGGAAAACCACCCAAGGAAGCUGCAAAGUAGGGUUGAUGUGGGGCAUGGCCUGGAAAGAGGGUGUGGCUGGAGCAAGUGCUGAGGACCAGACAGAGUAAUUUGAAGGGUCGUAAUUGGUCCCCAGAUCCAUAGCUGUCAACUUACAGAUUUGAAAAUAAGUGACCAGCAGCCUUGAAAAUAAGGGAUCAGCAGCCAAAAUAAGGGACCUGCAGCCUCACCUGUUCCAGGCACUCCAGUCUUCCUGUCCUCCUGCAGUCUGGUCAAACUCAUGCUGGUAGCUUUGAGAACACUGUCCAACCAACUUUGUAACCAGAGGUUCAACUGAACAGAAUCUGAAUCACAUGCACCACAAGGCCUAUGCAGCCUCAACUUAAGAUGGCUCCCCGGCCUGGCUUUGCACUGCAAAGUUUGCAGCAGCACGUGCAACAAAAUGGCGUCCAGCAUUCAAAAAACCCCUCAGCUUGCAUUAACUAGCCACAUACACACAGCCUCCCCCCCCCACCACAAGAUCGCCAGUCACCCACCAUUUUAGUCAACCAGCUCCUUUCUUUUUCCCAUAAGUCAAUCGAAGGAGCCUCCAAAACAAAUUCAAAAGCCCCCCCCCCCAAGAUCUCCUUUCCUUUUCCCCCACCAUGUGCCCCCGCUCCAGACAGACCUUUUCGCCGGCAAAGGUGAGUGGGCCGUCGAUGACUUAUAAAUCUGAUUCUGAUCCGAGCACUCAGCACAGGUAUGUUCAACUUCUGAGCCCCUCUGAGCCAAAGGCAGAAAGCCCAGCCAGCAGCCAAACAAAGCCUCAAGGAAAACCACCGUCACCUCUCCACUGGGAAGCGCUGAGCAAAGGCGAGUCCCCAGGGAACACAGCCGAUUUGAUCAGCACAAGGCAUGCAAGCUCCACCCCCCAGUUGUUCUUAGACUUCUUAUUGGGUGAGCAACACAGCCAAGCAACACAAUUGGAGCCUCCCUCCUCCCUGGCCGGCAGGGAGGGAGGGAGAGGAGCUGCUUCCUUUGAAAUUUAAGGGACAUCAUCUAAGGGACAUCCAUCAGUAAGGGACAGCAGUGGGACAUGGCGCUGGAAUAAGGGACUGUCCCUUCAAAUAAGGGAUGCUUGACAGCUAUGCCCAGAUCUGAGAUUCUCCAUGUCAGUCUAGAGGGUAAAUGUUUCUUAUACAUGAGUUUGAUGCUUGCUUACUAAUUCUCCACCCUGCCUUAUUACCGGCCUAUUGUUGUUGAGUUUCUUCUAGAUAAAGCCCUACAGAGAAAAAUGCAUGUAUACUCAGCAUCUUGCAAGACAAGGGCAAAUGUAUUUAUAUAGAUAUAUGCAUUUGACUAUACCAUUGAAAUUGUGGUAUUCUCUUAGCAAUCACACACUAAGUAAAAGCAUGAAACAUUUGAUUAAAACAGCUACUUAGCUUCAGACUAAACAUUGCUUUUCAGAUAAAACAAAAAUAAAUAUGACCAGAUCAGAUAUUAAUGGACCAGAAAUUGUGCUUUAAUUCAUUGGUGCACUUGCAAAAUGACAUAAAAUCCUCGCUAGUGAAUACUUCCACCAUAUAUUUAGAAGUUUUUGUGCUUGAACAGUGCCUUUAAAAUAUUUUGAAAGCUUUUAGUUGUUAUGAACUAGUAAUCACAUAUUUUAACUCUAACAUAAAAUAUGCAUUAAAGUAUAAAUAUACUGAAAAAUUACUCUAUUUAGAGUAGUAAUCAAAACCUGAAUGCAAAUGUUGUUAAAUACAAAUCUUAGCGAGUAAUUACUCAAGAUAACAGGCAUAAUUUAUUCUGCCUCCAAUAAGACAGAGGGGUAGACAAAAAGGCCAUAAACAAACUGCAUUUAAACAAAAACAACUUCUAUGUUCUAUUCCUUCAUAAGUGUUCCAGAAAUCUUGUAGACAACAUGACACAUGAAGGGUGUUAGCUUAACAUUACAUUUCACUUUAUCUUAAUUAUCUAGCACCUGCAAAUUGUUCAACAGAAUAUACAUUUUGAUUACAGUAGUACACUACAUACGAAUGAUCUAAACAGCAGCCAAUUUCCUUCAUCCUUCUAUUGUUUAGCAGGCCAGUGUGUACUUUUCUGCAAAAUGGGUGAUAAUUUUUACCUGUCUUAAACACACCUAAACAGCCGUCUCUUGCAAGAGAUCAUCCCUUGUCAUGAUGUUUCCCAAUAUCUGGCUAUUAUGAAUGCAUCCUAGACAAUGGACACCCAUGCACGCACCCUAGUUACUGAACCCCUAAAUAAACCCCAUGGCAGCAACUAUUGGGUGCAAGCCACUGAAAACGAGGUGUGCUGAAAUUACACUGAAAUCAAUGAAACCUUGAAAUAUACAGUGUGCUCGUUCAGAUCAAAACCCUUCUGUGCUUAGUAGGAUACUCCCAAGUGUGUAGGAUUGCAGCUUUAGUGCCCUUGAUUUAGUUGGGACUUAAGCGUGCCUAAUUUUCACAAAGUACAGUGGUACCUCGGGUUACCUACACUUCAGGUUACAUACGCUUCAGGUUACAGACUCCGCUAACCCAGAAAUAGUACCUUGAGUUAAGAACUUUGCUUCAGGAUGAGAACAGAAAUCGUGCUCCGGCGGCGCGGUGGCAGCAGGAGGCCCCAUUAGCCAAAGUGGUGCUUCAGGUUAAGAACAGUUUCAGGUUAAGAACGGACCUCCGGAAAGAAUUAAGUACUUAACCCAAGGUACCACAGUAUUGCAGAACAGUGUCCAAUGUAUGUCCAUGCACUGAAGCACUGAGUUUAACAAAACACAAAAGUAAACAAUCAAAUUAUUGCAGGACUCGGCUCCACAUUUGGUAAAAUAGGUUGAAGUGUAUAAUGCACAGUAAAUAUUAGCCAUAUAACUGAUCAUCAUCUUCUUCAAUCAAGUCAAGGCAUAAGUCAUGCAGAUUCUCUCUCUCUCUCUCUCUCUCUCUCACACACACACACACACACACACACACACACACAAUCACUAACAGAAGUGGAUUAUAAUUGGGAGUCAUGUACAAUAUAAAUAGUCUUGGAAGUAUGAGGAGGAGGAAAACCAAUGUGCUUGGAAUGUGGCUCUGACCAUAGGAAUAUGCUUUGAAUCUUCAAUCAUUGCUUUAUGACCCAUCAAAACUUCCAUUACUGCCUAGCAAAAGGGCACAUUAAAAUUAGACUACUUUUUUUUAACAAGCAUAAAAUAUUAAUGAUGCAUGAAUAAGAAACUAUUUCUAUUAACUAUAUGACAAUGAGUUCAUUUUUAAGCAAAUUACCUUGUGCUUUAUUUCAUUUAAGUCAUUGUUGAGUACUUUAACAUGAAGCUAAAUAAGCUGAUAAAUGAAAGCCUGUUUUUGUUAAGAUUAACAAAUGCCUGAUAAUAGUAGUAGUAGU